rnacentral:rRNA from 1 species
GGGCAAGCGUUGUCCGGAUUUAUUGGGCGUAAAGAGCGUGUAGGCGGCCAGGGAGGUCCGUUGUGAAAACUCGAGGCUCAACCUCGAGACGCCGAUGGAAACCCCCUGGCUAGAGUCCGGAAGAGGAGAAUGGAAUUCCUGGUGUAGCGGUGAAAUGCGCAGAUAUCAGGAAGAACACCCGUGGCUAAGGCGGUUCUCUAGUCCGGUACUGACGCUGAGACGCGAAAGCGUGGGGAGCGAACAGG